rnacentral:rRNA from 1 species
CAGGCGUAACACAUGCAAGUCGAACGAAGCCUUCGGGCUUAGUGGCGCACGGGUGCGUAACGCGUGGGAAUCUGCCCUUGGGUACGGAAUAACAGUGAGAAAUUACUGCUAAUACCGUAUGAUGUCUUCGGACCAAAGAUUUAUCGCCCAGGGAUGAGCCCGCGUAGGAUUAGCUAGUUGGUGAGGUAAAGGCUCACCAAGGCUACGAUCCUUAGCUGGUCUGAGAGGAUGAUCAGCCACACUGGGACUGAGACACGGCCCAGACUCCUACGGGAGGCAGCAGUGGGGAAUAUUAAGGAUGGGCGAAAGCCUGAUCCAUCAA